AGAGUUUGAUCCUGGCUCAGGGUGAACGCUGGCGGCGUGGAUAAGGCAUGCAAGUCGAAUGGGUUAGACCCAUGGCAGACGAGGUAGUAAUACGUAGGUACGUACCCCAGAGUUGGGCAUAACCAGUCGAAAGAUUGGAUAAUUCCCAAUAGUCUCGCGAGAGUAAAGAUUUAUCGCUUUGGGAGCGGCCUGCGGAGUAUCAGCUAGUUGGUAGGGUAAUGGCCUACCAAGGCUAUGACGCUUAGGGGAGCUGAGAGGCUGACCCCCACCGAUAGCACUGAGACACGGGCUAUACAUCUACGGAUGGCCGCAGUCGAGAAUCUUCGGCAAUGGGCGAAAGCCUGACCGAGCGACGCCGCGUGAUGGAUGAAGUCCUUCGGGACGUAAACAUCUUUUAUGAGGGAGGAAGUUUAUUGACGUUACCUCAUGAAUAAGUAGCUUCUAAACUCGUGCCAGCAGAAGCGGUAAUACGAGUGCUACAAGCGUUACCCGGAAUCACUGGGCGUAAAGGGUUUGUAGGCGGUUAUAUUAGUCUCUUGUUAAAACCCGGCGCUUAACGCCGGAUCUGCAGGAGAAACGGUAUGACUGGAGAGUGCGAGAGGUGAAUGGAACUCAUGGUGUAGGGGUGAAAUCCGUUGAUAUCAUGGGGAACACCAAAUGCGAAGGCAAUUCACUGGCGCAUUUCUGACGCUGAAAAACGAAAGCGUGGGGAUCGAACGGGAUUAGAUACCCUAGUAGUCC
rnacentral:rRNA from 1 species